UACGUAGGGGGCGAGCGUUGUCCGGAAUCAUUGGGCGUAAAGAGCGUGUAGGCGGACUGGAAGGUCUGGUGUGAAAGCCCGGGGCUCAACCCCGGAGGGUCACUGGAAACCAACAGUCUUGAAUCUGGAAGAGGAGAGUGGAAUUCCUGGUGUAGCGGUGGAAUGCGCAGAUAUCAGGAGGAACACCAAUGGCGAAGGCAGCUCUCUGGGCUGACACUGACGCUCAUGCACGAAAGCGUGGGGAGCAAACAGG
rnacentral:rRNA from 1 species